AUGAAACUGAUGCUUCGCAAUUGCCCUACUCAUGGUUUGAAUUUAUGGAUGAUCAUACAAAAUUUUUAUGCCGGUUUGAACUUUGCUUCUAGGAAUAUCUUAGAUUCGGCCGCGGGAGGCACCUUUAUGGAAAUCACGUUAGGAGAUGCUACAAAACUUCUUGAUAAUAUUAUGGCUAAUUAUUCUCAAUGGCACACCGAAAGAUCUUCUAGUAAAAAAGUGCGUGCUAUAGAAGAAAUCAAUGUUUUGAGUGGUAAGAUGGAUGAACUUAUGAAGAUGUUUGCUACUAAAAAUACUCCUCUUGAUCCUAAUGAUAUGCCUUUGUCUUCCUUGAUUGAGAAUAAUAAUGAAUCUAUGGAUGUGAAUUUUGUUGGUAGGAAUAGUUUUGGAAACAAUGCUUAUAGAGGAAAUUUUAAUGCUAGACCGUUCCCUAGUAAUUCCUCUAAUAAUUAUGGAAAUUCCUACAAUAAUCCUUAUGGUAAUUUUAAUAAGACGCCCUCUGAUUUUGAGAAUAGUGUGAAAGAAUUUAUGAUUUCUCAAAAGAGUUUUAACACUUUGCUUGAAGAAAAAUUGCUCAAAGUUUAUGAUUUGGCUAGGAACGUUGAUAGACUUUCGCUUGAUGUUGAUUCUAUUAAACAUAGACCUUCUCCUCCUAAGCAUGACAUCAAUGAGUCUCUCAAAGUAAUGAGAAUUUCCAUUGACGAGUAUAAGGAAUGA
rnacentral:rRNA from 1 species